rnacentral:rRNA from 1 species
UACAGAGGUCUCAAGCGUUGUUCGGAUUCAUUGGGCGUAAAGGGUGUGUAGGUGGCGCGCUAAGUCGGGUGUGAAAUUUCGGAGCUUAACUCCGAAACUGCAUUCGAUACUGGCGUGCUUGAGGACUGGAGAGGAGACUGGAACUCAUGGUGUAGCAGUGAAAUGCGUAGAGAUCAUGAGGAAGACCAGUGGCGAAGGCGGGUCUCUGGACAGUUCCUGACACUGAGACACGAAGGCCAGGGGAGCGAACAGG